AUAACCCACGGAAACGUGAGCUAAUACCAGAUAGGCAUUUUCCUCGCAUGAGGGGAAUGAGAAAGGCGGAGCAAUCUGUCACUUAUGGAUGGACCUGCGGCGCAUUAGCUAGUUGGUGAGGUAACGGCUCACCAAGGCGACGAUGCGUAGCCGACCUGAGAGGGUGAUCGGCCACACUGGGACUGAGACACGGCCCAGACUCCUACGGGAGGCAGCAGUAGGGAAUCUUCCGCAAUGGACGAAAGUCUGACGGAGCAACGCCGCGUGAGUGAUGAAGGUUUUCGGAUCGUAAAGCUCUGUUGCCAGGGAAGAACGCCUAGGAGAGUAACUGCUCUUAGGGUGACGGUACCUGAGAAGAAAGCCCCGGCUAACUACGUGCCAGCAGCCGCGGUAAUACGUAGGGGGCGAGCGUUGUCCGGAAUUAUUGGGCGUAAAGCGCGCGCAGGCGGCAAUGUAAGUUGGGUGUUUAAACCUAGGGCUCAACCUUGGGUCGCAUCCAAAACUGCAUAGCUUGAGUACAGAAGAGGAAAGUGGAAUUCCACGUGUAGCGGUGAAAUGCGUAGAGAUGUGGAGGAACACCAGUGGCGAAGGCGACUUUCUGGGCUGUAACUGACGCUG
rnacentral:rRNA from 1 species